GGCAAAAUAAUCUUAAUGUAAGCAGCUUUAAAAAAAGGAUGAUGGAGUGGAAAUUCCAUGUAUCAAUCCGUUUUCUGAAUCUGUUUCCAGUAUUAGGUUGUGGAAACCAGAAACUUUAUUGGCAGCAAUGGAUGUAGGUAAAGACCAUUGAUCAAUAAGGGUUUGCAAACUCAUUUACACCAGCACAAUUAAGUCAUGUCUAUCAAUUUAUGAGAAUAUUUUAUUUUGGCCCAGAGGAAACUAUAAGGCGAGAAUAAGAGCAAAGCAACAUUUAAGAUGUAAUUACACAGAAGACACCUUAUAAUCCGAAUAUACCCCGCAAGUGACAGAAAAAAAUCACAUUUAUUCAAAGAGAUGUCUCCACUUGUCAUGAACGUGUUCAGCAAGUAUUGUCUUCUUGGAGUUAAGCUUUCUUCUGGAGAUACUAAGAUGCCUGAUAUGUAUGGAGGGGUAGGUUAAUUGCAACUUAUUACCCAGCAGAAGGAAGGAAUACUGACCCAGAAGUUCAGGCCUUUUGUUGGACAGGAUCUGAUAGAAAAUGUGAUAGUCUCUCUCAGACUUGAGCUGGAAGACCACACGAGACUUCUCCAGGAGAUCUGACACAAAGAAUCAAUGCUUGGCACAAUUGACUAUAGAAGACAAUAAAGAGUUACCUGUCAGCAUGUACUGGUAGGCAUUAUCAGAGAUGGAGAAGAUGUGUGGGGGAGCCUCAGUCCUCU